ACGACGCUGGCGGCGUGCUUAACACAUGCAAGUCGAACGGAGAUUAUUAAUGAAGCUUGCGAUUUAAUAAUCUUAGUGGCGGACGGGUGAGUAACGCGUGGGCAACCUACCCAUAAGCGGGGGAUAACAGUUGGAAACGACUGCUAAUACCGCAUAAGCUAUUGAGGUCGCAUGACCUAAAUAGUAAAGGUGGCGAAAGCUAUCACUUAUGGAUGGGCCCGCGUCUGAUUAGCUAGUUGGUGGGAUAGCAGCCUACCAAGGCAACGAUCAGUAGCCGGCCUGAGAGGGUGGACGGCCACACUGGGACUGAGACACGGCCCAGACUCCUACGGGAGGCAGCAGGUGGGGAAUAUUGCGCAAUGGGGGAAACCCUGACGCAGCGACGCCGCGUGAGCGAAGAAGGCCUUAGGGUCGUAAAGCUCUGUUGUAAGGGACGAAUGUUUAUCUGGCGAACAGUCAGAUAAAGUGACGGUACCUUACCAGCAAGCCCCGGCUAACUACGUG
rnacentral:rRNA from 1 species